GGAUCCACCCAGAGUACCUAGAUAAAGUCCUCUAACUGGUUGAAGUGCAUGUGUGAGUUUCCUGACUGUCACAGUGGCUCCGUAAAGAGGGGAGCUGCCAUCUUCUCCUUUUACAGGAGCCUCAGUUCCUUCUGCUUAGGGGAAAGAGACACAGAGACCCUCCUGAUUUCCUCCAUGACCAUCUUGUCCAUUUUUCCCCAGGUCUUAGGUCACUGGGAUAUGUGUACAGGCAGGAUUGUGAUAUCCCUGGACACAUUGGCAUCAUAGUCCUCCCUACCUCAGAUGAUACUGUUUGCUCUGAAACCGGCUAUCCCUGAUCAGCUGCACCAGCCUCUCCAGCCGUCGUCACCAGAGAUGAUGAAUUUUACCUUGUUGAGUGUUGGGUGUUUUGUUUUGCUAGCUGCCUAUUUGCGGGCUCCGUUCUGGGACACAGCUAAGCUCCUUGGAAGCACUCAGCUCUACUGAAGCUCUGCCUUAAGAAUUUCAUACUUGAGACAGGAGCAGUCUGGUUCAUCUUUCCCUUCCACGGAUUCAGAGUUCUGUCUCCACACAGCGCUCUUCUCUGGUGCUGUGGGCUGAGGAUUCCAGAUAUCUUGGUCUCCUGAAAUGUCAGCUUUGUCAGCCGACCUCCAGGCCUUGCUGGGCUUGGAGAGCAGUGUUCUUCCCAGCCCCAUGGACUGGAAAUUUUGGGCUGCAUGCCAGGGCAGCUGUGGGUGCACUUCAUUUGUUCCCCAUCUCUCUUCACUGCCUGAUGUCCCGUCUUUGUAAAGUGCUAUAUUAUAUACCAUCAGCCUCCAUCCUCACGAGUCCCUCAUCCAAGAAUAAGAAAAGCUGUGGGAGACUCUGGAGGCUAGCCCAGCUACAGAUCUGGAGGCUAGCCCAGCUACAGACCUGUCACUGCAUUCCUUGAAGUUUCAGAUCUGAAAACAUCUAGACCUAGCUCAAGAUACAUGGAAUUCCCUUCCUCCCUCGCCAGGUCCUCCUUCCCUGUGCACCCCAAGAUCUCAGUGCCUGUGGAGGACCCUGGAAGCAAGCUCUUGCAGGUAUCCAGGGGAAAGACAUCUGUCUAUUAAAUGUGGUGGUAACUGAGACAGGGUCUAGAAUCAGCUGAGAGACAGGCCUCUGGCACACCUUGCUUAUAUUAAUUGAUCUGGGAAGAUAACGUCUUAACCGUGGGUGGGAUCCUGGACUGCAUAAAUGGAGAAAGUUAGUAGGCAGCCACAUGUACUCAUUCCCCUGCUGCCUGAUUGUGGAUGCGAUGUCACCAGCUGCUUGGACCUCUGCUGCCUUGACUUCCCCCAUGGUGACAGAUUGUUCCUUGGAGCUGUGCAUUAGUUACUGUCUGUCGCUGUGAUGUAACAUCAUUUUCAAGGCUUAUGAUUCCAGAGAGAUGAGUCGAUGAUGACGGGAGCAGAGAUGUGGCAGCUGGAGCUGGAAGCAGGGCCUCACAUCCAAACCAAGAGCAGGAAGCAGAGAACACAAGCUGGAGGCGGGGGGCAUAAACUCUUGGAGCCUGCCCCUAAUUACUUACUACUUCCAACAAGGCCACACCUCCUAAGCUUCCCCAAACUCUGUGGAGGACAUCUUAUUCAAACCAGUACUAACAGGUAGGCCCUUUCUUGCUUGGUUGCUUUUGUCCUAGUAUCCUGUCACUGACGUAGUUAAAGAAAUCAAGACAUGAAGGGAAAGUGACUCUCAUCCCUGCCGUUCCCUCUCAUCAAUGAAAGAAAAGCUCUACCGGCUGGCAUUCGGGAGCACCAAGCUACAUCAGUUACCUCACUGUUUAAGUGGGAAAACUGAGGCUCUGAGGUAUAGAAAUUUCACCAUGUCCUACAGCAAGUUGGGACGUCUAGAACCUGCUUCACUCCCUCUGUGGGAUUCCCCACCCAAGAGAGUUCCCAGAAGGCAGUUUUAGGCAUGGAACCCCCCUUGCCACACAGUGCAGUGGAGUUAGGGGUGUGACAGGUAUUUUUCCCCACUCUGUCCCUAACCCUUCCUCAGUACAGCUCUGUGGGAAGCUGAGGGUCACCUGACACCUCCAGCUACAGAAGUACUUCAAGAAGCUUACCAGUGCACGCAGAGUUGAGCAUAUGUGUAAUCAUGGAGAUUUUCUUCAUUCGUGCAGUUUUGAGCAUCCCAGCUUGUCAGGUGGGAGACUAGAGUUCAAUUCCCUGGUGGGGAAGCAAAAGGCCUUGUUUGAGGUUGGGGUGGUCCAAUCAGGAAAGUGCACGCUCUCCAGUAGGAGAACCUGAAAUCCAUCCACAGAAGCCAAGGGAAGCCUGAAUGUAGAGGCACAUGCUGGUUGAUCUAGCUGAAUCUGUGGGCUCCGGGCCAGUGAGAGAUCCUGAAUCAAAGUAUAAAGUACAGAGAGACUGAGGGGAUAGCCAUCUAAUAGCAGGCCCAACCACAGACCCAUCCCAUGGGCAAGCACCAAUCCCUGGCACUG